rnacentral:lncRNA from 1 species
AUGAAGAUAGACGCGCACGAGUGGUGCGGGAAUCGUGAUCACGCGCUGCUGGCGCCAGAAGAACCGAAGCGGCGGGAAUGGCGGCGGUACCGAAACGAGCGAGAUCCAGCAGAACCGCUCGGUCUUCACAACCAGGCGUCCUGUGAGGAAACUUUGUUUCGUGAGGAAGCCCUUUAUUUUUGCCACGAGCGCGUUCGAGUUUAAAAAUGGCGAAAAUUACUGAAAGUCUUGAACCUACCAAACGUGGACUGAAAUAAUAUCUAACACAUAACGAAUUGCCGUUUGGAGUUUAAAUUCUGAUGUCUGGUUAACAUUCAUCACAUAAAAAUAUAUUCAAUUAUUAGUGAAAUAUAGCGCAACAUUUGAGCUCCAAAUGUUUAUAUGGAUGUCAUAGCUUGCUCAGGUAACUGUUUAUGCCAUUCCUCGUCCUUCUCUGUAUUAUCUCUUCAGCGCUUCUCUUAUUGUUCAUGUUUUCUUUCUCUCAGAUGUUGUUGGAUGAUCACAGUCAGUUCAUCUGACCGUAGAUCUCACCUCCUCAUGCUUCAUGUCUGUAUGUGAGUGUGUGUUUGAUUGCUGUCUUUGAUUCAGUGUGUUUUCUGGCUGCAUCAGAUUGUAAUCACUUUCAUAUAAGAUUAAUACAAUGAUAUUAGUAAUAAUAUUUUUUGCAUUUGAUUUGACAUGUCAUUUCUUAUAUUUAUAUGCCCCAUUUUAAUAACAGUGUUAAAAAUAAUGUAAAACAAUGAAAGUGAAGCAAUAUAUUUGGCUAUAUCAUCCCUCCCUACUUUAGUCUGAAUGAUCUCUCGUUCUUUUUUCUUUUCUUUUCUUACCUUGUGGAGUUACAGUAUCUUAGUUUGGCUGUUCUGUUCAUUAACUUGCACUGUUUAAAACCACCAUGUAAAAUAAGAGAGAUAAGAUCAUAGAUCAUAUCAAGUGUAAUAUUUGUCAUAUUCCCCACCCAUAUUUCUCACCGUGAAUUAACUUAUAAAUAAACAGACAAAUAGUUCUGAUGCUGCUUUGGUUCAUUAUAAAUGAGAUGCAGCAUCAGCACAGCCUUAAUCUUUUCUGUUAUCAUGGUAAUGUACAUUUUAUAAUUUGGUGUUGUUUAAACAUUAAUCUCAUAGCAUUUAUACAGAUGUAAUUGCUUUACAAAAGCAUGCAUGCCACCUUUGCACAGCAUUAAUUACUCGAUGUACUGUAAAUGCACCAAAGCCUCUUUAGAUGGAGCAUCUUUACAGUGUUAAGAUGGAUUUAGACAUGUACUGUAGUUUGGGCUGUUCAGUCAAAUUAUCUAUAGAGAGAUGCUGAUAGAUUCUGUUAGAUCCUGUGAUGAUGAUCUGAUUGUGCUUCCAAGCAAAGCAUUUCAAGUGUGUGUGUGACAGUCUGUCGAAAUCCAAACACUCUUUCCCAUCUGCACUAUAUUUUGUAAUUGUAAUUGUCAGCUCUCACUGCACCAGUUUUCAGUGCUGAGAUGCUUUAAUUAUAGUGCGCUUGAAACACAAAGCCAAGCAAGUUUUGAAUUGCUUGACGAUUAUAUUGCUAUCAGUGACUACGUUUACAAGCUGUUAAAAUUCGGGUUAUGGUCGGGUUAAGGUCACUAUUUGGGUUUCUGAAACGUUCGGGAUAACCCGUUUACAUGCGUGAGCAG